CCUANGGGCGGCAGCAGUAGGGAAUUUUGGACAAUGGGCGAAAGCCUGAUCCAGCAACGCCGCGUGCGCGAUGAAGGCCUUCGGGUUGUAAAGCGCUUUUAGAGGAGAUGAGAAAGGACAGUAUCCUCUGAAUAAGCCUCGGCGAACUACGUGCCAGCAGCCGCGGUAAAACGUAGGAGGCUAGCGUUAUCCGGAUUUAUUGGGCGUAAAGCGUGUGCAGGCGGUUUGGUAAGUUGGAUGUGAAAGCUCCUGGCUUAACUGGGAGAGGUCGUUCAAAACUGCCAGACUAGAGAAUGGGAGAGGGAGAUGGAAUUCCGGGUGUAGUGGUGAAAUGCGUAGAUAUCCGGAGGAACACCAGUGGCGAAAGCGGUCUCCUAGACCAUUUCUGACGCUUAAACACGAAAGCUAGGGUAGCAAACGGGAUUAGAUACCCUGNUANUC
rnacentral:rRNA from 1 species